AUGAACGCUAGCUACAGGCUUAACACAUGCAAGUCGAGGGGCAGCAUGGUCUUAGCUUGCUAAGGCCGAUGGCGACCGGCGCACGGGUGAGUAACACGUAUCCAACCUGCCGUCUACUCUUGGACAGCCUUCUGAAAGGAAGAUUAAUACAAGAUGGCAUCAUGAGUCCACAUGUUCACAUGAUUAAAGGUAUUCCGGUAGACGAUGGGGAUGCGUUCCAUUAGAUAGUAGGCGGGGUAACGGCCCACCUAGUCUUCGAUGGAUAGGGGUUCUGAGAGGAAGGUCCCCCACAUUGGAACUGAGACACGGUCCAAACUCCUACGGGAGGCAGCAGUGAGGAAUAUUGGUCAAUGGGCGAGAGCCUGAACCAGCCAAGUAGCGUGAAGGAUGACUGCCCUAUGGGUUGUAAACUUCUUUUAUAAAGGAAUAAAGUCGGGUAUGCAUACCCGUUUGCAUGUACUUUAUGAAUAAGGAUCGGCUAACUCCGUGCCAGCAGCCGCGGUAAUACGGAGGAUCCGAGCGUUAUCCGGAUUUAUUGGGUUUAAAGGGAGCGUAGAUGGAUGUUUAAGUCAGUUGUGAAAGUUUGCGGCUCAACCGUAAAAUUGCAGUUGAUACUGGAUAUCUUGAGUGCAGUUGAGGCAGGCGGAAUUCGUGGUGUAGCGGUGAAAUGCUUAGAUAUCACGAAGAACUCCGAUUGCGAAGGCAGCCUGCUAAGCUGCAACUGACAUUGAGGCUCGAAAGUGUGGGUAUCAAACAGGAUUAGAUACCCUGGUAGUCCACGCAGUAAACGAUGAAUACUAACUGUUCGGAGGGCGACCUCUGAGUGGUAAAGCGAAAGCGUUAAGUAUUCCACCUGGGGAGUACGCCGGCAACGGUGAAACUCAAAGGAAUUGACGGGGGCCCGCACAAGCGGAGGAACAUGUGGUUUAAUUCGAUGAUACGCGAGGAACCUUACCCGGGCUUAAAUUGCAGAUGAAUUACGGUGAAAGCCGUAAGCCGCAAGGCAUCUGUGAAGGUGCUGCAUGGUUGUCGUCAGCUCGUGCCGUGAGGUGUCGGCUUAAGUGCCAUAACGAGCGCAACCCUUGUUGUCAGUUACUAACAGGUUCCGCUGAGGACUCUGACAAGACUGCCAUCGUAAGAUGUGAGGAAGGUGGGGAUGACGUCAAAUCAGCACGGCCCUUACGUCCGGGGCUACACACGUGUUACAAUGGGGGGGUACAGAGGGCCGCUACCACGCGAGUGGAUGCCAAUCCCAAAAACCUCUCUCAGUUCGGACUGGAGUCUGCAACCCGACUCCACGAAGCUGGAUUCGCUAGUAAUCGCGCAUCAGCCACGGCGCGGUGAAUACGUUCCCGGGCCUUGUACACACCGCCCGUCAAGCCAUGGGAGCCGGGGGUACCUGAAGUGCGUAACCGCGAGGAGCGCCCUAGGGUAAAACUGGUGACUGGGGCU
rnacentral:rRNA from 1 species